GAGCCGCUAGCUCAGUCGGUAGAGCACCUGACUUUUAAUCAGGGGGUCACAGGUUCGAUUCCUGUGCGGCUCA
rnacentral:tRNA from 1 species